GACGAACGCUGGCGGCGUGCUUAACACAUGCAAGUCGAACGAGGUCCACUGCGUAGCAAUACAAAGGAAGACCUAGUGGCGAACGGGUGCGUAACACGUGAGGAACUUGUCCCGGUCUCUGGGAUAACAGUUGGAAACGACUGCUAAUACCGGAUGACGUCGGAAGCUCGCAUGGGCUACUGACGAAAGGGUUACUGGAUCGGGAGAGCCUCGCGGCCUAUCAGCUAGUUGGUGAGGUAACGGCUCACCAAGGCAUCGACGGGUAGCUGGUCUGAGAGGAUGAUCAGCCACACUGGGACUGAGACACGGCCCAGACUCCUACGGGAGGCAGCAGUGGGGAAUCUUGCGCAAUGGGCGAAAGCCUGACGCAGCAACGCCGCGUGCGGGAAGAAGGCCUCGGUGUAACGCUUCAGAGACGAAAUAGACGGUACCGUUCUACGAGAAGGUAGCGGCCGAACUACGUGCCAGCAGCCGCGGUAAAGUACGUCUAU
rnacentral:rRNA from 1 species